UCUGCAAGGCAAGGCCACACCCCUUCUACGGGGCUCAGCAGCUUUGAGAAUCCUCCCUGACCAUCAGGCCCUCCGUCAGCAGUGUUCUCCCCAGGCCAUCUGGAUUUCAGAUGACGGUUCCCCGGACAUCAUGAUUUGCAGCUUUAUAGGUUGAAGUGCUGGAGCUACUGAAUAAAGCACUGUGUCUCCUUCCACAUGUAUCACAUUCCAGUCCAAAGGUAGUGUGGACUUGUAACAUCUUGUAAAUCUCCUCAAGAUUCUUGUCCUGAAUAAUAUGGACAGAGCAGUCACUUUGAAAGAAAGAGCUAUAAACACUAGGAGCUGUUAACUCUCAAGACCUCCAGAGACCAGGAGCUGAGGAAGAACAGCCACAGAGACCAGCACCAGCAGAGCUGACUGAAAACAUCCAGUGUUAACUGGUGUCUACUAGGGGCAUCAGGGCUGCUAGCAGAGCCACACUUUGCCAGUUCAUGACUUUUAUCUGAAUGGAGUAAAAGAACCCUUGGUUGAUUAAUGACAUUUUCUCUGUACAGCACAUCACAGCCUUGUACAUAGAUAGUUAGAUAACACUUCAACACUACGCUUGGAGUCCAUUCCAGUGAAAUCAUCCUCAAAAAGCAUCAAAAGGCAAACAAACAAAAAAAUCAAAAGUACGGUCCUAAGUAGACUGUGAAAAAGAGAAGUUUACAACAGGAGAGCUGAAACCAGGAGGGAGUCAUCCUGCCUGACCUCAGCUGGGGCCAAGUGCACCUGAUGACUCAAAUGUCCCCCUCCUCUUGUAUGUCUGUAAAUGACCACAAAGCUCAGCAAGUAUCGAUUUGGGUUUAUAAAUUUUAGCGAGUAGGAGGAAUGACUGUAUAGGCAACACGAUGAUUUUUCCUGAAAGCACAUAUAACAAGUUUUUCCCUUGGGCUCUGUUCCUAGGGUAACCUCUAUCCUGUUUCUAACCCCAUGAAUUAGUCUAUUUUUCACAUUAUAUCAAUAGAAGUGUGAGUUUUACACUGUUGUAUGUCUGGCUUCUUUGGUUCAAUAUUGUUAUUCACUAUAUUG